rnacentral:rRNA from 1 species
GAUGAACGCUGGCGGCGUGCCUAAUACAUGCAAGUCGAGCGAACGGACGAGAAGCUUGCUUCUCUGAUGUUAGCGGCUGACGGGUGAGUAACACGUGGAUAACCUACCUAUAAGACUGGGAUAACUUCGGGAAACCGGAGCUAAUACCGGAUGAUAUUUUGAACCGCAUGGUUCAAAAGUGAAAGACGGUCUUGCUGUCACUUAUAGAUGGAUCCGCGCUGCAUUAGCUAGUUGGUAAGGUAACGGCUUACCAAGGCAACGAUGCAUAGCCGACCUGAGAGGGUGAUCGGCCACACUGGAACUGAGACACGGUCCAGACUCCUACGGGAGGUAGCAGUAGGGAAUCUUCCGCAAUGGGCGAAAGCCUGACGGAGCAACGCCGCGUGAGUGAUGAAGGUCUCCGGAUCGUAAAACUCUGUUAUUAGGGAAGAACAUAUGUGUAAGUAACUGUGCACAUCUUGACGGUACCUAAUCAGAAAGCCACGGCUAACUACGUG